AUUGAACGCUGGCGGCAGGCCUAACACAUGCAAGUCGAACGGUAACAGGAAACAGCUUGCUGUUUCGCUGACGAGUGGCGGACGGGUGAGUAAUGUCUGGGAAACUGCCUGAUGGAGGGGGAUAACUACUGGAAACGGUAGCUAAUACCGCAUAACGUCGCAAGACCAAAGAGGGGGAGCUUCGGGCCUCUUGCCAUCGGAUGUGCCCAGUUGGGAUUAGCUAGUAGGUGGGGUAACGGCUCACCUAGGCGACGAUCCCUAGCUGGUCUGAGAGGAUGACCAGCCACACUGGAACUGAGACACGGUCCAGACUCCUACGGGAGGCAGCAGUGGGGAAUAUUGGACAAUGGGCGCAAGCCUGAUGCAGCCAUGCCGCGUGUAUGAAGAAGGCCUUCGGGUUGUAAAGUACUUUCAGCGGGGAGGAAGGGAGUAAAGUUAAUACCUUUACUCAUUGACGUUACCCGCAGAAGAAGCACCGGCUAACUCCGUG
rnacentral:rRNA from 1 species